UGUGCGAUAAAUAUUGUUUACGCAGCGUGAAUACGACAGAUUUAAUUAACAGUUUUAAUUUUUUUUUUCUCGCAUUGAUAUACGUAACACCGAGUUAACGAAGGUUAUCGUGAUCAUCGAUGCAGUUGUUUAAUUGGAAAAAGUUCUUGUUAUACGCGUAUUAUCGGCUUGAAAAAUCGGCCCGUUUGUUGGAAAACAUCGUGCACGAUUAUUACAUCGGUUGGAAGGAAAUAUAUAUUCGAAGAAGAUACAAUAAUUUGAUCAAAACAAAAAGAAACAAAAACGAAAACAUUUUAAAAAUAUUUUUGCGCGUUUUUUUUUACGAUAUCGCGAGUCAAUUUGUUGAAAUGCAAAAAUAUCGAAUUUCGUGCGGGAAAUUUGAUUCUACGUGAAAACCGAUGGAUAAAUCGGCGGGAAAAAAUUGAAAUUAAAACGCCAACAGAUUGAACAAACGAUCGUAAAAACGUUGAGAGAGUAAAACCACGUCGAGGAUAAAAGUGCAAUAAUUGGAAUUUUGCGAAAAGGGCUUAUUCCAUGGAGCUUCGAAGAAGGAGAUCGUACGUGAUAUUUCGAGAUGAAAGGUCAAUUUUUCCAGGCUUCUGGAUCCUUCUUUGUCUUUCAUUUUUUAACAACCGUCGUAACAAGUAUUACAAAGUAUUGGAAAGAGUUUCAUCAUUAUGAUUUGGAAUUUAUCAUAGAGAAAAUAAACAAGACUAAUAAUUUUCUUUUAUAAAUUUCGUUAUCACAAUUUACUUAUUCCUUAAUCAAUCCAAUUUUCUAAAAAUAAUUUAUAAUUCUAAUCCAAUGAUUAACGUAACACGAGGAACGUCUGUUCUCUCUCAACUUUUUUCACUUGAAAUUUUCUUCACUUUUUAAAAAAUUUAACCUUUCCAUUCCUCCACCUUUGCAUAUAUUCUUAGAAAAAGAAGGAAAGAAAAAAGGAAUAUCUCAAGAAAAUUUCCUUCUCAUCGUGGACUUAAACAAGGAAACACGUAGGAAGAAAAAUAAGGGGGGAGAAGGCGUUAUUAAUCACACGGCUAAAUAUCACGGCUCGUGUUAUCGAGUUUCCAGAAGAGGGAAGGCUUUCUUUUUUUAAAAGGCAUUUCCAUUUUAUCCCACAUACAUCGGGGGGGAAAGAGGUCUUCUUUCGAUUUUUUCCUCUUCGUUGUGCUACACGUAAAAAAUUAUAAGCCUUCAUCGCCUUCCUCGACACGCCACGUCGAGUUACAUAACGGAUUUUCCUUUGGAUCAAUUUCCUUUCCUUUCUUUUCUUUUUCUUCUUCUCCUUUUUCUUUUUUUUUUAUCGACGUUCGGUGUUCGAGUCAAAGUUGAGAAGCUGCUUGUCCUUUAAAAAAAAAAAGACUUAGAAACGAGGGAUCAAACGAGCCGAGAUCGGACAAAUACGACGGGGAUAUAUUUUCCAAAGCGAAAAAAAAAGAAAAAAGAAGACGUAAGUUGUUUAAUCUGACGACAGAGGAAAACCGUUUUUUCUUAUAUCGAUUUGUCCUGUUCGCGAAAUUAAAUUCUGUUAAAAAACGUUUUAUUCGAGAAGAAGUGUCCGUUAUCUGAUAACUGUUCUCCUCGAUUCGACGGAUUAGAACGUUGGAAAUGGCUUUCGCGUUAAGUUUCGCGAAACAUGCCCGAGUAACUCGAACAUUACACGAUAAAAAGCGUACAACUAUAAAUAACUUGCCCCUUCGCAACGUUCUCUUUACGGCUAUUUUUAUUGUCUCGGAUAAAUCAAUUAAAAUAUCGUUACGAUAGAUGAAGAAAGAUUCAACGAAUCACUUUUAAAAAAGUCUCGUAUAUUUUUCUGUCGUCUCAAGUUCAUCGCGUAUAAAUUCACGAUAAUUCGCUUUAAUUAUUUAACGGGAGGUGCUGCUAUCUAGCGAUGGAAACGAGAAUUAAAACCGCUAAUGCACGAUGCAAUUCUAUUGCAAAAAACGAUUAAUAAUAAUAGAAUCGAAGAAUUCUUUUCUCAUCUAUUGAAGAAAUUUAAUCUCCAAAAUCAUUACUUUUUCACAAACAUUUCUCGUUACAUGUAACGUUGCCAAAAAAGAAAAAAAAGAAAAUCACUUUUCACAGAACACACGAGAGACUAACUAAUAUCGAAUGAUGUACACGAAAAUUCGUCUCUCGUAUUCCCUUCCUAUUCGAAACGGUUCCCUGACUAAUUGAUUCAUUUUUCCCCGCUUCUGAUAGAGUGUCAUUGUGUAGAAAAAAAGUUAGAAAGAAAAAAGUAGAAAAAAAAAAA
rnacentral:lncRNA from 1 species